rnacentral:rRNA from 1 species
AAUGAACGCUGGCGGCAGGCCUAACACUUGCAAGUCGAACGGAUCCUUCGGGAUUAGUGGCGGACGGGUGAGUAACGCGUGGGAACAUACCCAAAGGUACGGAAUAGCCUCGGGAAACUGGGAGUAAUACCGUAUGUGCUCGAAAGAGGAAAGAUUUAUCGCCAAAGGAUUGGCCCGCGUUGGAUUAGGUAGUUGGUGGGGUAAUGGCCUACCAAGCCGACGAUCCAUAGCUGGUUUGAGAGGAUGAUCAGCCACACUGGGACUGAGACACGGCCCAGACUCCUACGGGAGGCAGCAGUGGGGAAUCUUAGACAAUGGGGGAAACCCUGAUCUAGCCAUGCCGCGUGAUCGAUGAAGGCCUUAGGGUUGUAAAGAUCUUUCAGGUGGGAAGAUAAUGACUGUACCACCAGAAGAAGCCCCGGCUAACUCCGUGCCAGCCGCCGCAGUAA